rnacentral:rRNA from 1 species
GAUGAACGCUGGCGGUGUGCCUAAUACAUGCAAGUCGAGCGAACGGACGAGAAGCUUGCUUCUCUGAUGUUAGCGGCGGACGGGCGAGUAACACGUGGAUAACCUACUUAUAAUACUGGGAUAACUUCGGGAAACCGGAGCUAAUACCGGAUAAUAUUUUCAACCGCAUGGUUCAAAAGUGAAAGACGGUCUUGCUGUUACUUUUAGAUGGAUCCGCGCUGCAUUAGCUAGUUGGUAAGGUAACGGCUUACCAAGGCAACGAUGCAUAGCCGACCUGAGAGGGUGAUCAGCCACACUGGAACUGAGACACGGUCCAGACUCCUACGGGAGGCAGCAGUGGGGAAUCUUCCGCAAUGGGCGAAAGCCUGACGGAGCAACACCGCGUGAGUGAAGAAGGUCUUCGGGUCGUAAAGCUCUGUUAUUAGGAAAGAAAAUAAGUAUAAGUAACUGUGCACAUCUUGACGGUACCUAAACAGAAAGCCACGGCUAACUACGUG